rnacentral:lncRNA from 1 species
AUACAAAAAAAUUAGCCGGGCAUGGUGACAGGCACCUGUAAUCCCAGCUACUUGGGAGCCUGAGGCAGGAGAAUCGCUUGAACCUGGGAGGCAGAGGUUGCAGUGAGCCGAGACUGCACCACUGCACUCCAGCCUGGGUAACAGAGAGAGACUCCGUCUCAAAAAAAAAAAAAAAGCUCUCCCUCUCGCUCUCCCUCUCCCUCUCCCUCUCCCUCUCCCCACGGUCUCCCUCUCCCCACGGUCUCCCUCUCCCCACGGUCUCCCUCUCCCUCUGUUUCCACGGUCUCCCUCUCAUGCCGAGCCGAAGCUGGACUGUACUGCUGCCAUCUCGGCUCACUGCAACCUCCCUGCCUGAUUCUCCUGCCUCACCCUGCCGAGUGCCUGCGAUUGCAGGCGCGCGCCGCCACGCCUGACUGGUUUUCGUAUUUUUUUGGUGGAGACGGGUUUCGCUGUGUUGGCCGGGCUGGUCUCCAGCUCCUAACCGCGAGUGAUCCACCAGCCUCGGCCUCCCGAGGUGCCGAGAUUGCAGACAGAGUCUGGUUCACUCAGUGCUCAAUGGCGCGCAGGCUGGAGUGCAGUGGCGUGAUCUCGGCUGGCUACAACCUCCACCUCCCAGCCGCCUGCCUUGGCCUCCCAAAGUGCCGAGAUUGCAGCCUCUGCCCGGCCGCUACCCCGUCUGGGAAGUGAGGAGCGUCUCCGCCUGGCCGCCCAUCGUCUGGGAUGUGAGGAGCCCCUUUGCCUGGCUGCCCAGUCUGGAAAGUGAGGAGCGUCUCUGCCCGGCCGCCAUCCCAUCUAGGAAGUGAGGAGCGCCUCUUCCCGGCCGCCAUCCCACCUAGGAAGUGAGGAGCGUCUCUGCCCGGCCGCCCAUCGUCUGAGAUGUGGGGAGCACCUCUGCCCCGCCGCCCCAUCUGGGAUGUGAGGAGCGCCUCGGCCCGGCCGCGACCCUGUCUGGGAGGGUCUCACUCUGUCACCCAGGCUGGAGUACAAUGGCGUGAUCUUGGCUCACUGCAACCUCCGCCUCCUGGGUUCAAGCGAUUCUCCUGCCUCAGCCUCCUGAGUAGCUGGGAUUACAGGUAUUGAAACCUCCACAAAAACCCCAAAAGGACAAGGUUUGAGGAGCUUCCGGAGAGCUGAACACAUGGAGGUCCCUGGAGGGUGGCAUCCUGGGGGGACAUGGAAGCUCUCCACCCCUCCCCCGUCCUUUGCCCUGUGCAUCUCCCCUCAUCUGUAUCCUUUGCCAAAUCCUUUAUAAUAAACCGGUAAACGUGUUUCCAUGA